UCUGCAGAAUUCUAUCACCCAGCAGCCCAAGACCAGUUACUCACUGAAGCUAAGCAGGGCUGAGCCUGGUCAGUAUCUGGAUGGGAGACCACUAGGGAACACUAGGUUGCUGUUGGA
rfam:Danio rerio chromosome 14, GRCz11 reference primary assembly.